rnacentral:lncRNA from 1 species
ACCGCAGCAGCAAACCCAGAGUUUUCUCAGAUGUGGCGAUCCUUAGGCAGAGGAACCAGCAGCCCCCACAAACAGCUUCCUUUGGAAGGAGAGGAGAUCACGGCUAAAGCAGUACAGCAAUGGAGGAAAUACCUUGUUUUCUCAAGAAGAGGAGGACCGUGGACACUACAAUGAGGAACAACAGGAUGGAUCCCAGAAGCACCCAGUGAGUCCUGUUCUGUGGAGGAUGUGUUGCAGGCAGUUCUGGAAAAGGAUAAAGAGAAGCUGAUGGAAGGUAAGGCUUUGCUGCGCCAUAGUCAGGGGAAUGAUGACUCCUGAAAUAUAGUUUGGUCUUAGGGUAAUCUUAAUCACUGAAAGUUAAUGUCCAGGUAAGGGUUGGAAGAAGAAGACAGAUCUCCUAAGAAACUGGGAGCAGCACAGAGAAGAACUCCAGGCCUGUGACAUGUUGCCACAGAAAGUGACUGCAAUAUUAAAUGGUAACCUUAGUGCAGUAACUUCCUUGUGCACUCAUUAAUAUAGACAGUAAUGGCUGACUUGGUGUGGAAGGCCAACUCCCGAACAUGGGAAAGCGGGGCACUGCUAAGCCGCUUCUGUCUCCCACAAAUGUGGACCAGUGCGGGUUGUGUUUCUUCCAUGUCUGAGACUCUUGGGCACUCCAGUCAUUAACAUCUCCCUGUUUCUCUGCCUGGAGUUUUGAGAAAGAGAAAAAUGGGUCCCAGGGCUCUGGGAUGCUCUGAGAUUGCUAACUUCCAUCUCCUGUUGUAACUCAGCUCCUAUUUGGUCCCACUAUGAACCCAAGUUACAGAUGAGAAGAGACACUCAGAGUGGUUAAGUUACUCCAGGAUGUCCUACAAAGAAAUGGCCAGAGAACAGCUUUUUGCUGUUUUAUUAUGAUGAUGUUUGCUUGUUUUGUCUUUGAGGCAGGGUCUCUUGUAGUCAGUCCAUACUGGCCUUGAACUUGCUAUGAAGCUGAGGAUGACCUUGAACUGACCCUCCGGCUUCCACCACCAAAGUGUUUAGACUAUAGGUGAGCCCUAUAUACGUUUAUAUGGCGCUGGGGUCAGAGCAUUGUGGAUGCUAGGCAAGUACUCUCCCAACUGAGCUACAACGUCUCCAGCCCCAUAAAACAUUUAAUGGUAGGAAACCAACAAUAUAGCUUUUAUGGAAAAGUCCAAUUCUAGUUAGAGUGUCUUCCUUUUUAUUUUACAUUUUUCCAAACUUGUGUGCUCCUUUUGGCUCCACGCCCAUCCUGGGCUUCAUUUUUCAUAUUGGUUGACUUUUUAAUGUAGUUUUAUAUAUCUUCUCUAAACUUCACAGAGCUAUCUCUAGACAUCAAUGUACUGUUGACAUACAUUGGGAAAGGGGUGUCGAUGGAGGCAGAAGCAACCCUCCUCAGAGUGAGUACCUCUGGGUUCAUAUUCAUAUAAUGCUCUGAGCCUCUCACCAAACUGUCUCCUGUGGCCCUAUUUCUGUAAGGUAAAUGAAUUUUAAAGACAGCUGAAUUCUCAAACGAUUUUCCUACAAUCAUUUUCGUGCAGCUCAUUCUAUCCCUACAAUGCCCUGGCCUGGUGAGUUACAACCCAGCUAGUCGGUUGCCCAUAGGCAUCAGCCUCGUGUUCUAUGCACAGGCAGACUUCCUGGAGUUGAAGUAUCAGGGAAUGCCCUGAAGAGGAGUAUGGGAAGAAAGGAUUCUUCCUGUUGAAUAUAAGAUACAAAAAAAGGCAAUGCAUUUGCUUUCUACUACAGCAGCCCGGGAGGGAAGAGGGCAGCUUUGAUGUGACAAAGGUUUACAUUCCUGAAGCAUAAGCUUGCUCUCACGUUGCCCGUGGUGCCCAAGUUACAAGAGCAUCUCCUACAUGCGACUGUCACCUGUUUCCUGGAGCAGAGUAACUUAUGUCCUAUCCAGCCACGAAUACUCAAUGACUAACAUACUGUCUGUCAGGAGCAAACACUUAAUUCUUGCUGAGUGUUGACCAAGUAGCAUUAUGGCUUGCACGCAAGAGAAAGAGGAACUAGAAUACGUCUAGCCAAUGUAAGUUUCAUGUAUUCAUACACUCGGCCAACUACUGCUAAAUGACUAUGGCGGAUGGCCAUCGUGCUAGGAAUCCGGGGACGAGUUAGGCAACUCACCUGGGAUGAUCAGCUCCGCUGUGUGGUUUUGCCCUGGCUGUGAUCUCCAAAACGUACAGUAGAAAACAUCAUUCGCUGUGGCGUUGACCCUCAGACUGCUGGUCACAUUGAGAAGCAUCCCCUCUGUCCGGGAAGUGGUGACACUUCUCUUCCCACUCACGGGUUGGUGGUCACUGUUUGUCCAGAUUACCUCAGCUUCUGGAUAACCCUCGGCCUGACAUAUUAGUUCAUGCUCAGAAGUGGCUGGAUCCACGGAAAUUCUCUGGUUGAUUUUGCGGUAUGGGGCUAGGUCAGAAGCAAAGAGAGGUCAGGGCUCUCCCAUCUUAGGGCUAGCCGUGUGGCUUUGUGGUGUCUGCUUACAAAGAGCAUCAACUCGGGCUGGCUAUUGGAGAAAUAUGUCCCCGGCUCUGCUACUUUGGCAGCAGGGAGUGAGUGUUAGUCUGCCUCAGGUCUUCUAUUCAAAUCUGGGCCAUGUUUGGGCUUCAGGAACAACCUUGUUGUUGUAAAAACCACACCAGGGUGUUUACUGAGUGCAAACUAGAUGUAGCAACUAAGUUAAGUAAACUGUUACCUAGAAACCACAGGUCUUUCUACCUCAAUGUAAAUAAAACAUAUCUAUUUCUUCAGCAAUCAUUAUCCAACUUACGAUUCUUUAGUGAGCCAUAGAGAGCCCAGGAUAGGGGCUUAGGUGACUACUUCAUUACCAAAGAUGUAAUAAGAGCACUGUAAUACGGUAUUUUCACAGGAACUUGACACAGAGUAGCUAAGACAAAGCAAAGCCGUAAUGUGUUUGGUUGUCCAUGAACCAAGAAAAAACACCACCAACAAAAUAGGUAUAAUUACAAUUUCAAGUAACAGCUUUGAUGAACACUUGCCCAGUCUUGUAUUUAUCACAUUCAAGACCAACUAAAUAAAGAUGAGACCACUAUACAUUAUUAAAUAGGCACAUCAGGAAAUAAUGUCACCACAAUAGGGUCUAAUGCCACAUGGCCCGUGACCUAAUUCUUCUGGGAAAUUAGUGGUUUAAAUUUGAAAUCACUGCCAAUGAUAAAGCAUUCGGAGUGAAAUAUCUGCUUUCCACUUUUGUUUUUCACGGGUGCUGAUGGAAGGAGAGUUCUGCUUCACCUAGAAGACCAUGGUGAGCAGCUGAUGAGUGGAUUCGUCUGAAACUGACUAGACCUCCGCUGCCUCCGUCCCUAAGGUGAGCGUGUGUGUGAGGACGCAGGCAGGAAACACCAGAAUUGUGCACGCUUGCUCUAGGAUCUGUAAAAUCAGUCAUGCCUCAUAAACGGUGACGGCUGUCACUGAGUCUGAAUGUCUGACACAGGAAGAGGGGAGUCUAUUGAUUCAUAUUUGGGUUUCUAUGGAUGUUUCCAAUUCUCCUGUCUAUUUUUGUUUUGUUUUCCCUUUGAGGAAGAGUUGCAUGUAGACCAGGCUAGCCUUGAACUUGCUGUGUAGUCAAAGGUAACCUGCCUCUAGCUCCUGAGUGCUGGGGUCACAGGCAACUGAGUUGCCACCGCAUGUGGUUCUAUGCUGUGCCGGGGAUCGAACCAGAACUUCAUGAAUGGCAGGUAAGCACUCUACCAGAUGAAAUACAGACCCGUCCCUCUUGUCUAUCUUUAAUUGAAUUCACCAUCUUUAAAAAUAAGCACAUUACAAAGUCUUCUUAAAGAAACUCCAGAUCAAAGAUAAAGCUCACAAUUCAACACAAAGCAAAGGGAAAUGUAAGCAGUGACGUUACCAGUCAUUUUCGGACAUUAAAAACGAAGAUUGAAAGGAGUUACAGAGACAAAGUUUGGAGCUGAGACAAAAGGAUGGACCAUUUAGAGACUGCCAUAUCCAGGGAGCCAUCCCAUAAUUAGCCUCCAAACGAUGACACCAUUGCAUACACUAGCAAGCAUAUGCUGAAAGGACCCUGAAAUAGCUGUCUCUUGUGAGACUUGGCCGGGACCUAGCAAACACAGAAGUGGAUGCUCACAGUCAGCUAUUGGAUGGAUCACAGGGCUCCCAAUGGAGAAGCUAGAGAAAGCACCCAAGGAACUAAAGGGAUCUGCAACCCUAUAGGUGGAACAACACUAUGAACUAACCAGUACCCCGGAGCUCUUGACUCAAGCUGCAUAUGUAUCAAAAGAUGGCCUAGUAGGCCAUCACUGGAAAGAGAGGCCCAUUGGACACGCAGACUUUAUAUCCCCCAGUACAGGGGAACCCCAGGGCCAAAAAGUGGGAGUGGGUGGGUAGGGGAGUGGGGGAGGAGGGUAUGGGGGACUUUUGGGAUAGCAUUGGAAAUGUAAUUGAGGAAAAUAUGUAGUAAAAAAAUUUUUAAAAAAAGAAACAUAAGC